rnacentral:lncRNA from 1 species
CCCGCUCGCCACGCCAACGGCACCGGCCCAGGCCGGAGCGGCACUGCCGAGGCACUCCCAGCACACGGGAUCCGCAGCCAACCCCCGGCCCCACAGCGGGCAAAGCCGCUCCGCGCCUCCGGGCAACAGCCCACGGCGGCGAGAAGCGGCGAGAAGCGGCGAUCCUCCCGGGGCCCGCACCGCCGGCUCCGGCCCGGAAAGCUGCAGAGGGGCGGCCGGGCCGCGAGGACAAACGAUGGCCAGGCGAUCGGCGCGGCGUUCGCUCCCGCCCUCGCAGCGAGCCUUGGCCGCACGCCCACCCACCAGGCCCGCCCGCGGCGCACGGCACGGCCCGCGGAGCCCGGCCCCGGCACGGCACGGCGGCUCCCCGGGCGGAGCGGCCCACCGACGGACCGACGGCCGCCCUCGCCGGGAGGGGCGCGUCGAGACCCCCCCCCUAGAACCGCAGAUAGAACGGGGCGGCGAGACGGGGACGAAGGAGCGAAAGAGAACAGCCUCGCGGCCGCGAGCCCCCUCCCGCACCCCGCGCCGCGCUUUACCUGCCGUGCGGCACCGCCUCCCGGCGCCCCGCCGCCAGCCCUAAAUAACGGCCCCGCCGCCGCCCCGCCGUCCCGCACGCGAGGCCCUACGCCCGACUACGUCCUCCCCGCCCCCACCGCCCGUCCCUCCCGGCGGCCGCCGCCAUUGGCGCGCGGGGCGCUGACGCCGCCUGCAGGGGCGAGGGGCGGAGCUUCCCGUAAGGCGGCGGCCCAUGCCGGGAGCCGGGCGCGAGGCGCGGCGGGGCCGGAUCCUGAGCCGCUUCCCCGCUUCCCCGCUUCCCCGCUUCCCCGCCCGCUGCUUGGCGCCUCGCCGCCCCCCCGGCUCCCACCUGCGCGGUGGCCGCUGGCGGAGACGCGCGGACCGCGCCGCUCCGUCUGGGAGCUUUUCCCGACCCUGUCGGCCGGCCGGCAGCCGGCGGCCCUUGCCGGUGUUUCGCAAGCUGCCCCGCGAGCGCGGGAGGCCGUAGCGCAGGGCUUAUCGACAGCCGUGUUAGCCGAGCGCUCUUAUCAGGAUCAGCCCCCUAGAAGACGUGUUCGUGGAAUGCGGGGCUGUGAGGGGAUACGCAUGGUUGGUGUGCUUGCUCCUGUGUGCCGUGAUUCACUAAGUCUCCAAAAAGGACUUAGGUACUGUCAAAUGUCCUCUUGA